CCGGCCGCUCCAGGCGCGCCUCGGGCUCGGGGCGCGGGGCGCUGGGAGCGGGAGGGUGGGGGCCGCGGCGGGCCGGCGGCCUCCUCGCCCGACCCCCGACCCCGGGCCAGGUGUCUUCAGAAUUCGGCAAAGUAGAUGGGACUGCAGACGUUACCAUUCCCUGUGACUCUUGCUACGAUCUUACAGACUUCAUUGUGCUGGGCUUAGAUGUCUUCAGAGUCACCAGCUUUGUUUUUCAGUUCCAUGAAAUCAGCCUGCCUUUUCUUUUUUUGGUGAUACAUCCACAUUCUGUAUAGGUGAAAAGCAAAACAAACAAGUAUAAAACGAAAAUUAUGUAAGAAGUACACACAUCCUAGCAGCUUGGCAAGUGUCUGUAUGCUCUUGCCUGUGCCUAAAUCCAGAAUUAGAAUUCAUGCUUGGUGCUCCUGUGGAAGAUGUCUAAAUGUUAUGAGAAAUACAUGAUUAAAUAAAAAUGUGAAAUGAAAGCAUGGAGACUUGUUGAAGGUGAGUGCUGUUUUUCUAAUUAUAUAUUUUAUUUGUUUAAUGAAUAAUUUGUUAAUUUUCUUUGUCAUUACGAGAGAGCUGUUUUAUUCUGUACUUAGGUGCAUAGCAUACUAUGUUUUAGUGAGCUCCACAUGUUAAUUUGAAACUUGCCAAAUUUUUACAUUAUUUUAUAAUUUAUAGUACUUUGAGAAACAUAUUGCAAUGCAUUACAAAGCAUAUAAUGUAAAGGUAGUUUUAUGAAGUGUUUUUCUCCCAAAUUAAGCAUAUUUGGGAAUUGCCCAUCAAUUUGUUUUUGAACCUCAGUGCAUAAAAUAUAGAAUUUUUCUUUCAUAUGCUAGAUGUGAAAAAUACUCAGCAUAUGCAUGUGGUUUAGGCUACAAAAUAGCCUGUAGGUUAAAUUCCUAAUUCUAGUGUUUAAUUCAUUGCCUUUUUUCUUCUUGUUUAAUGGCCAUAUGUUUAUAUCUUUAUAUUACAUACAUUCCUGAUUAUGUAAUAAGGUCUUUGAUCAUGUGGGCUAUCAGAUUUGCCUCACUUUGUCUCUUAGAAGAAGCUAUACAUGAAACUAUGUUGUACUUAAGUGAAAAUUUGAGUAUUUUUCUUGUUUGAAUUAAUGCAGUGAAACAUUCUACUUACAGUUAGCUGUCUCCCACCCUUACAGGAAGGUACAUGCCUUCAUUUUUUAAAACACUGUAUAUUUAUUAGAAUUGUUACAGAAUUUUAGUAAAUAUAUUCUAAUCACAUAUUUUCUGAUUAAUGUGUGCUUAUCAGUUUUAAAUGUUAUGAAAUCUGGAUAUAUGUUAAAAUGUCUCAGUUUUCCCCUCUUGUUUACCAUAUUGCCAUUUGGUAUUAAUAGAUAACAUAAUGUAAAAUUGGAUGUCUUUGAUAAUUUUGGGAUAUGUUCUGAAAUUAAACUUGAACUUUUUUCUGUGAAUUUUGAAGAUUUGGUAUCUUAUAAUUAUUUGGUGAGCAUUUGGCAUGAAUUAUUUAGCUUCUCCCCUGUUUAUGAUUUAUUUCUCUUGUCAUCGAUUUCCAAUAGGAAAAUGUUAUGGUUCUAAAUGUCUCCUGUAGACUUCAGUAAUUGAAAAAUGUCAGUCAAGAUGGGGGGAAUCUGUAAUAUAUAAUAGAGUUUAUCUUUUAGUUAUGUUCAUUUCCACUUUUUUUAAUGUGUUUUUUUUUUAGUAAAUGUCAAAAGUGUUACUCAGUGCAACAUAUUAUGCAAUAUUAUAAUCAACUAACCUCUUCAUUGAUAAUGACUUCAUAUUGAGAGGUUUUUUAAAUCUAGAAAUAUUCUUGUUUUAAAUUCCAGGUUAAAAUGUAAAGGUAUUUUUAUUUUUUUAAUUUUAAUUCUUCUCAAAGCUACUAGUACAUUAUAAAACAACAAUUUCACAUUUAGAAUUUUUAUAUGUAUAUAAAUUAGGAUUAUUUUUUAAUAUUAGCCUUAACUUUCUUUAACUUUUAUGAAAAACAACUAGUCCCAAGGGUAUUUUUACUAUUUAAUAUACAUUAUUCCUGUGAUUCAAAAUCUUAGCAGUAGAACCUGUUGAGCUACUUAACUUUCUGUCUUGGGACUAUCCAGGUGCAGUUAUAACUGGUUUCAAAGUUGUGACCUUUUCCUUGCUUGUUUCAAAAUCAUUCCUUAAAAAAUGUUCAGUAUUUUUCUUUUGUCAAAAAAUAAAAACAGGAUUUGUGGGUUGUUCUGUUUUUUAAAAUUAGUUUGAGAAACUUCCUUUGCCACUUGUUUUCUGUGCAAAUGUUGUAAGAGCUCAAAUUCCCUGGGGGUAGGGAGGACUUUUAUAAGGUUUUUUUGGUUGAAGGGUAUAAAAGGCACUUAAAAGGUAUACAGUUACUUUUAUUUCGAUAUCCCAGUCAUUUUGACAUUAUGAUAAGCUUUCCCCACUUUAUAGGUUAUCUGAAAAUUUGGUGGGGGGCGGGUAUUUUAUUUAUACUUAAUAUAACAAAAUUAUUUUCCUAUGUGUAGUCAAUAGCACAUACAAAAAAUUAUCUCCUGUUUGUAGUCAGUAGCACAGUCAGUAUUCACCAAAAUACUGAGUUAUUUUUCAAGUAAAGGUAUAAGUAUGAAUGAGAAACAGUUUGUGGGUUGGGUAUUGUCAGUCCUUCUUUUUCAGAUAACUUUCUAAAUGGUCAUUCAAUCUGUAAUCUUAAACUUUUUUAAUGUUAUAAAUUCUUCAAAUCAGUAUUUGUAUUAAAUGCAGUGACCAGACUAUGUCACUGAUACAAUGUCAUGAUUAGAUGUGCAGAAGACUAUGUUACAUGGAUGAUAAAUGAACUUUUAACAUAUAGAAAUUAAUAUCAGAUUAAACUAAAACAUUAAGCAAAGUUAAUACAUGCUUGCAUACAUAUAUAUAUUUAUUUAUUAAUGAUAUGUGGAGAAUCUUUGUGCUUCAUAGUCACUAGACCUAAAGUAGAAGCAGUUGUCAAGAAUGUCCAACUGCUAUUCAUCUUUGUGGCCAAAGUAAAUUUCAGAUUUUUUUUUUGUAAUGGUUUUCUUUAGUCUCUUUAUUAACCCAUCAUCAUGACAAGUCUGUCAAGUGACACAUGUGAAAAGCAGAUGUCCUUUCUUAUUCCUGGUGCUUCCUAAGGAGGCAGUGCAAUGCAGGAGAAGGAACAUUAUUAGAGAUAAAGGAAAAAACCAGAAGUGCUUUCUCCUCUCACAUUCCACUCAACACUUCUCUCACCAAAUGUGUGUGGGGAUUUCUCUCCACCAACAACCAGCAGUUCUUUACUGCAGAUUCUCCAGUGGAUACCAGCCAGGUGUCCUCUAAUUCAGUUCAAUUCUGACAUUAUCUACUGGGAGAUAGUGUCAGAUCCCGCAAGUGGAGGGCUCAGUCCUACAAGACUACCCCUUACUUCAGAUGUCAGUCACAAGCAGUUAGCGGUUUGUGAUUCUGACCAACUGGCUAGAGGUCCCCCUCCUCAAGUGUGAUUAAUUUGCUAGAGCAGCUCACAGAAUUCAGGGAAACACUUUAUUUACAUUUACCCAUUUAUUAUAAAGGAUAUUAUGAAGGAUACACAUGAACUGCCAGAAAGACAAGGAGCAUAGGCAAGAUACUGAGAAGGGUCACGGAGCUUCUGUGCCUUCUCCAGGUGCACCACCCUCUGGGAAUAGUCAGUUCAUGUGUUCAGCUGUCUCGAAGCUCAUUCGAACCCUGUCCUUCUGAGUUUCUGUGGAGGCUUCAUUACGUUAAGGUUCAGAAAUCAAUACCCCAAAAUAUGGGGCUUUGACAUGCUGAAUUAAAGAAGCAGCCUCAAGGCCUCUUGGCCUUCUCCAGCUCUCCUCACCCAAAUCCUGUCUCUCCCAAAGCACAAGAUGAGGCUGUUCACCAAAGUUCCCUUAUUUACCUAGAAACUGGACCUUAAAGAGGAACACAGUUGCCUGCGAUUCCAUCCCUGUAAUUUUAUUAACCAGAGAUUAAAACUUAUAUCACAGAGGAAGAGACUAAAAAUUAAACACCACACCUGGAGCCCAGAUGACCUGUCCCAAUCUAUUAUCUGUUCUCCAGUCCCAUUUAGUUCCCAAAGGGAAUCAUUUACAAACCAUUGUCUGAUCUUCCGGCCCAUUUAUUUACAGCUCCCCCUCUUUCCCCAAUGAAAAUGAUACUUAAGUGUCAGCCAUCUAUCGGCUCUUUGAGUUUUCACAUUUUGUAUGACUCCUGUGCACACACAUGCAUGUAAUAACUGUUAUACUUGUUAACUUUUUUUCAUUAUAGGGGUAUCCACCAUGAUUAUAUAUGAUGGGGAGGAAAGGGAUUACUCCAUUUCUGCCCCUGCAGUCUGUAGGCAUGAUUGAUUACAUCAUUGGUCGCCGGUGAUUAACUCAGUCUCCAAGCCCUGUCGUGUCCCUGGAGGUUGGAGGGUGGCACUGAAAGCUCCAACCAUCUCAUCAUGCUUUGAUCUUUCCGAUGACCAGACCCCACCCUGAAGCUAUCUACGGGUCCCCAGCAACAUUCAUUUCGUUAUCAUACAAAUGACAUUCUUACAAUUUCAGAGAUUCCAAGGGCUUUAGGAAAUGGAGAUGAAGAGCAAAUAUAUAUUUCACAAUAUCACAAACAUACCCUUGGGAAUUAGACCUCUGAUCUAAUCUAGGCUCCCUCACUUGCCAUUUUUGUGACCUUGAACAAGUUGUUCAUCUUUUCUGGAUAGUUCUCUGUUAAAAAAAUUAAAAUAAAAAAAUGGUGGCUAUCAGGUUGUUAGGAGGACUAGAUAAGAGAACUAUGUGAAGGACCCUGCACAGUGCUAGCAACAAAGUUGUUUAGUAAGUGCUAUUUCAAUUUAUUUUGCUUCCAAGCUCAUGUGAGCUCCCUCAGUGUGUACCACCAAAUCACAUGAUGUGUAUCCCAGUCAAAUCUUAAAGGUCAUCCACCUUGAAUCUUUAAGUUAAUUAACGUGUGUUUUUAAAACUGCAUUAUAAGAACGUUAGGGUUUUUGUUUUGAUCCUAUGGAAGUUAAAUUUUUUACACAAGCAUUCAACUGUUUAGCUUCAAACUGAACAGAUAAAUAGUCUGUAUUAUUUCAUUAUGUAUUAAAAAAUGAUUAAGCCUGCCUCAGGCAGUUCAGGCAAAGCAGGUAAAAGAUUAUCAAGGAGUAACAUUAGAAAACACUAAUCAGAGUGCCUAAAAAGCUUUAUGCGGUCCAGGUUGUACAGGGAUGUUGGAACAGUAAAACAAACAAAACAUUACAAGGUAUGAAGCGUUCGAGAUAGGUAGAAUAGAGCAGGUUAUAUUAGAGAAGUCUCUUCUAAAAUUGUGUUGGCUAGCCUGGGAUUUGAACUUAUACCGUGUAUGUAUGUCCAUGUGUAACAGGUUGAACAUGCAAGAAGCAGUGUUCAUAAAAGGUGGCAAACUUGUUUUACUUGUUUCUCAGUCUUUUCAGAUCAGUACUUAUAAAACACUGAUAUUUACAGUAAAUAUCUUAUAUUAAAUAUUAGCUAACCCUAUUAAAUUGUGUGUCCUUGUGCUGCAGUCAUUUAAUGACCUCAUUCUUUGGUAAGUUGGCAUGUGAUUUGAGAUAGCUCUAAGUGCUAAUGGAUUGUUUGAAGGAGUUAAAGGCAAAACCAGGAAGAGAAAACUAUUUUUAGGAAAAAGCGAUCAUACAACAGGCCUUAAAUAGAAGAAAUGAGAUAUCUCUAUCUUUACUAUGUAACCUUUAAUUCCUUACACAUUUUGACUUCAUAUUUUUUGUAUGUAAAUGAGAAUGUUAUAGUCUUGUAAAUUCCUUUUCCUCUGUGACUACAUUCAGUUAUUUAUUUUAUUGUGUGUUUGUGCAUGUCGGUAGAGCACAGUAUUUAGUAGAAUGAGUUAUUGGUUAAACCACCUGGAUUCAUUUGUAAAAUGGGGCCACCUGUCUCUUAAAUUGUAAUGAGGAUUUGAUUAGAUAAUCUAGAUAAAUCACUUAGCACAAGAGUCUCCAGCCCCCGGACUCUUGACUGGUACUGGUCUGUGGCCUGUUAGGCACUGGGCUGCACAGCAGGAGGUGAGCAGGGAGCAAGCUAGCACUAGGGCCCAAGCUCCGCCUCCUGUCGGAUCAGUGGCAGCAUUAGAUACUCAUAGGAGCACAGACCCUGUUGUGAACUGUGCGUGUGAGGGAUCUAGGUUUCGUGCUCCUUACAAGAAUCUAAUUAAUGCCCGAUGAGUUGAGGUGGAACAGUUUCUUCCCAAAACCGUCUCAGGAAACCUGUCCCUGGUGCCAAAAUUUGGGGGACCUCUGACGUAGCACACUAUCUGGCACAUACCAAGCACUCAGAAAAUAUCCCAUUUCUCAAAACUCAGUUCCAGUGUCAAGUCUUAAUAGUAUAUUGAUCUUGGAACUCCAAGGUAGUUGGUCCUCUCUUUGUGCCAUAAAUGUGCCUUGUACUCAGUAGUGCUAAAUUGCUAUCAACUAGUGCUAAAUGUACUACUAAUUCAUCUGUGUGUCCACUUCCCUUCUUAGAUUGUGAGCCCCUUGAGGACAGAGAUGGGUUUACUCAUAUUUAUAAAUUCAUUGGCAUGAUAAAUAUUUGCUGAAAGAAUAAAAUUGUAUUCUUAUGUUUUAAGCAGGGUCCCCUCCACCUCUGAGUGGAAGAUGGUCUGGGAGCAAAGGUGACAGGUCUUCUAAAAAAUCUGGCCACAUUCUCAACCCACCACACCCCCGCUUUUUUAAACAGCUAUUUAAUUGCCAUUGUAAUCCUAAGGAUUGGAUCAAUUUUUCACUUCCCUUUUUCACACUUUUUUCCUUUUACUAAGAAAAUAAAGUAAUAAAGUGACUGCCAAAUGGAGAAAACUGUCCACUAAAUAUGAAUUAAUAAGUGCUAUUAUCAGAAAUUGUGUAAAAGCAACAUAAUGGCACUAUAAAAAGGUAUUAUCUUAGAAUCAAAAACCUUGGGUUUAUAUUAUAGCCCUGCUACUUUCUAGUCAUAUGACAGUGAUCAAGCUAUAUUACCUCUUUGGCUUGACAAAAUAGGGGUCAUCUCUAUUUCUGGCUUGUUAUGAUUGAUGUGAAAUAUUCAUACAAACUACCACUGUGCCUGGUAAGUAGAAGACACUCAAAUAUGUCUUGGAGUUACAGUUAAUACUGUAUCGUUUAAAUUUGAGAAAAACCAACUUUAAAAAAUCACAUAGAUACAGUUGUUUACUGCUAGAAAUUUUAUUUAAAUUAGUUGAUACUCUUGGUUAGGUAAUGAAAAACAAUGGUUUUAUCUCCAUUAUGCUGUGAUAGGGAAGAGUAACACAGUUCAAAUGGCAAAGGCAUACCUGACAAUUAAAAUGCAUAGUUAAAGGCUAAUACUUCCUGAACACAAGAAGACAAGUCUCUACUUGAUACUACUCUCCACAGUUAAAUCAUUGAUACUUUGUGCCAUACAGUGAAAACAGAACCAUCUAGGUGUUCACGGAUUGUAUUUUUCCUUAUGAAAGGUAGAAGGUUAGAGAAAAUUAUUCCCAAUACAAUUAAUACAAAUAAAAUUGGUUAUUAGGUGCCUUUUAAUUAGGCAGUAAGGGCAUAUGAAGCUUCAUUACCUAUGAGAAUUUUGUCAAAAUUAUUUCCCAGUUACCAUGUUUUAAAACAGCCUCUCAGAAUUCCCCACUUCUAAUUUCUCCUUUCUAUUCUACCAAUUUUACUCCAUACCUUUUUGCUAAAUAAACAUUUUCUUCCAACUCUGAGUUUGGUGUUUUUUUCAUUUGAUCUGCUCUUCAAAGUGUAUCAGCUAGUGAUUGAAUUAGGCUAUGGUGUAACAGAGAACUCUAAGACAGUAGCUUAAACAAGAUUUUUUUUUUAACCCCUGAGUCUUGCUGCCUUUUUCACAAAGACAAAGCUUUUUCAGAAACUCCCAGCUUAUGUCUCAUUUGCCACAACUGCGUAACAUGGCUAUCUUUUAGCUGUAAGAGAUGCUGAGAAACAUAGUUUUUUUGCUGGGCAUAUUGUCACUGAGCAAAAUCAAAGUUUUAUUUGGAUUAUUGUACUUACAAUUCACCUUUUAUGGCAAUUUAAGUAGUCAUUUGUCAUAGAUUGGAGGAUUUCCUGGAAGGGUGAAGAACUUCUAUAUAGGUUACUUAUUCUGACUAACAUAAAUUAUCCUACCACCACAAUCCCAUAACUCUAAACUUACAGAGAUGUCAUAGAAAACAACAAAUAUACACACAGCUAACCACAAAAGAAAAAGGAAAUCCCAGCUGCCAGAAGUGAAGAAAAAACAGCCAGAAUAGUGAACUCAGCAGCUGAAGGUACACUGACCUAGGUGGAUGAUAGUGUUGGCUGUGGGUCUCACCAAUGGACCCUGAGACUUUAACAGCAAGAGAUAUGGCCUGACUAUACAGGGAAGCUGGGACUGAGACCUACACAAAGCCAAGACCUUAGAAGGUGCUCCAGCCUCAGGAAGGAGGAUGAGCAAACUUCUACACAAUAACCCAGGGAAGCUACAAAGUUGUCUGAACCCAAGACUUUAGGGUGGAGAAAGAGGAAGGUGUCUGUGAGAAAGAGUUGAAGUUUACAUUUCAGUUUUGCUUUCAGAAUAUCCAUGCUUAGCUUAAAAAUGUGAGGCACAUUAAGUUACUGGCUUUAAUAAAGGAAUGAAUGAAAUGUACAGAAGUAUGUGUUCUCGGGGCCUCUUUUAAAGUCAUUAGGGGAAAGAAUUGGCAUAUAUUCAGACGCAUUUGAAGAAAUUAUAUAUUUUUGGAGAUGGAGUCUUGCUCUAUCGCAUGGCAUGAUCAUGGCUUACUGCAGCCUCAAUUUCCUGGGCUCAAGUGAUCCUCCCAUGUAAGCCUCCCGAGUAGGUGGGACCACAGGCAUGUACCACCUUGCCUGGCUAGUUUUUAAAAUUUUUGUAGAGAUGGAGUCUCACUGUGUUGCCCGAGCUGGUCUCGAACUCCUGGGCUCAAGUGAUCCUCCCACCUUGGCCUCCCAAAGUGUUACGAUUACAGUCAUGAGCCACCAUGCCUGGCCUGAAGGAAAAUUUUAAAACAGAAGGAAUAAGCUAGAAUGCAGCACAGAAGAGGUAGAAAAUUGAAAGUAAUUCAUGGAAGAUCCAAUAUACAUAUAUAUUUUAGGAGUUUAAGGAGAAAACAGAAGGUGUGAGGCAGUUGUGAACUAACAGAAUGUGUAGUAUACAACUCUUGGUAGAGAAAUGGUACGCACUGAAGUUUUUGAGGCGUGGGGGACAGGUAGCUUCCUUCUCUCAUGCAUACUCCUGCUGCCAAAUUACCCCCUAACGGCUACGUUAUAAUGAAAACAGUUUCAUGCCAGCUUCUGUUAUAUUAACCGAGCAAGAAAACUGAUCUUAGCAUGUUCUGCAGGCUAAAGGAAAUUGCUCUUGGCCCAUUUAGGUGCUCUAACCACCAUCUUGCCUGAAAGGUUCCUUUAAGAAGCAGAAUUCUAUUACUUUAACAAAAGGUGUGUUCAUGGCUGGACAAGAGCCUUUUAGGGGGUUAGACUAGGACAUCAUCCCAAAAUAUAAGGGCUACAGGCCAUGCUGGAUUCUUAUGGCCUCUUCUUGCAAUGGUGGUAUGUGUUACUCUGCUAUUAGUCAGUCUGAAAACCUUUAAUCUCACCAUCGGAGGCCCAUUUAAAAAAUUACUUUAGCAGGUCACUAAUAAAAAUUUCUACCAUUUAGUAUGAAAAUUAAGACAUUGUAUGUUGAUCAAGAUGCAGUCAACAAUACCUAGAAUAGCUUCCACUAGAGUAUGCAUUCUCUGAUUAGAACACUAGUUCAUCUUCCUAGUGAACUGUUCUAUCAGGAUGGUAGCAAGACUUAAGCGAUGACUUUACAUAAGUUAUGUGUACCACACUGUGUAUACUGGAGUAUUUCCAUGUAAAUUACAGACAACAGCUAUACUGGAAGCAAUAAAUGGCCAAGAAAUUUCCAGAGUUGACCAAAGACAUCAGGAAUGAUACUUGCUUCCAGAAAAAGAACCAAUGUAACAUUGGCUUAAACUGUUGUGCUUUUGCUUUUCUUUCAGAUGUAGGCUGUCCAGGUGUCCGGUACUAUAACUCCACAAGAUCAGUAGGGCCCCAGGCUUUUUCUGUUCUUUAUGAUCCACUCUCUACCAUGUAGCAUUUGUCUUCAAGAUCAAAAAAUGGUGGCUGUAGUGCUCACAUUCCAGAUAAGGAAGAAUGGGCAAGAAACAAAAGAUCCACUCCAAAUGUGAUGGCAAAAUUAAGACUUUUGAGUGAAAAAUGGAAAUUUGUCUUCAGUACAUACACACUGAAAGAAAUGUUGAAGAGAGUUCUUCAGGCAGAAGCAAAAUCAUUCCAAGGGAAAUCCUGGAAUGCAGGAAUAAAUGAAGAGCAAUGGAAAUGGUAAAUAUGUGGGUAAAUUUGAAGGAAUAUUGGCUGUAUUCUGUGGUUUAAAAUAUCUGUGGAAUUAAAAUGCACCUACAAUAACGAGACAGGAGAAGUUUGUACUGGAGUUUGUCCUCAGGUUCUAGCAUUAGGUAGGUAAAUGGUAAGAUUACUUUUUUUAGACUAUGAAGACAAGGGUGCAUGUUGUAAUCUCUUAAGCACUAAAAGGCUAAUAGAAUGUAUACCUAACAAUUUAAUGGAGACAAAAGCAUUUAAAAGAAGGCAA
rnacentral:lncRNA from 1 species